rnacentral:rRNA from 1 species
UACGAAGGGGGCUAGCGUUGCUCGGAAUCAUUGGGCGUAAAGCGCACGUAGGCGGCUUCGCAAGUCGGAUGUGAAAUCCCUCGGCUCAACCGAGGACGUGCAUACGAAACUGCGGAGCUUGAGUGCUGAAGAGGAUCGCGGAAUUUCCGGUGUAGCGGUGAAAUGCGCAGAUAUCAGGAAGAACACCCGUGGCGAAGGCGGCUCUCUGGGACGGUACUGACGCUGAGACGCGAAAGCGUGGGGAGCGAACAGG